rnacentral:rRNA from 1 species
GGUUAAGCGACUAAGCGUACACGGUGGAUGCCUAGGCAGUCAGAGGCGAUGAAGGGCGUGCUAAUCUGCGAAAAGCGUCGGUAAGCUGAUAUGAAGCGUUAUAACCGACGAUACCCGAAUGGGGAAACCCAGUGCAAUACGUUGCACUAUCGUUAGAUGAAUACAUAGUCUAACGAGGCGAACCGGGGGAACUGAAACAUCUAAGUACCCCGAGGAAAAGAAAUCAACCGAGAUUCCCCCAGUAGCGGCGAGCGAACGGGGAGGAGCCCAGAGUCUGAAUCAGUUUGUGUGUUAGUGGAAGCGUCUGGAAAGUCGCACGGUACAGGGUGAUAGUCCCGUACACCAAAAUGCACAGGCUGUGAACUCGAUGAGUAGGGCGGGACACGUGACAUCCUGUCUGAAUAUGGGGGGACCAUCCUCCAAGGCUAAAUACUCCUGACUGACCGAUAGUGAACCAGUACCGUGAGGGAAAGGCGAAAAGAACCCCGGCGAGGGGAGUGAAAUAGAACCUGAAACCGUGUACGUACAAGCAGUGGGAGCACCUUCGUGGUGUGACUGCGUACCUUUUGUAUAAUGGGUCAGCGACUUAUAUUUUGUAGCAAGGUUAACCGAAUAGGGGAGCCGUAGGGAAACCGAGUCUUAACUGGGCGUCUAGUUGCAAGGUAUAGACCCGAAACCCGGGUGAUCUAGCCAUGGGCAGGUUGAAGGUUGGGUAACACUAACUGGAGGACCGAACCGACUAAUGUUGAAAAAUUAGCGGAUGACUUGUGGCUGGGGGUGAAAGGCCAAUCAAACCGGGAGAUAGCUGGUUCUCCCCGAAAGCUAUUUAGGUAGCGCCUCGUGAACUCAUCUUCGGGGGUAGAGCACUGUUUCGGCUAGGGGGCCAUCCCGGCUUACCAAACCGAUGCAAACUCCGAAUACCGAAGAAUGUUAUCACGGGAGACACACGGCGGGUGCUAACGUCCGUCGUGAAGAGGGAAACAACCCAGACCGCCAGCUAAGGUCCCAAAGUCAUGGUUAAGUGGGAAACGAUGUGGGAAGGCACAGACAGCCAGGAUGUUGGCUUAGAAGCAGCCAUCAUUUAAAGAAAGCGUAAUAGCUCACUGGUCGAGUCGGCCUGCGCGGAAGAUGUAACGGGGCUAAACCAUGCACCGAAGCUGCGGCAGCGACACUUAGGUGUUGUUGGGUAGGGGAGCGUUCUGUAAGCCGUUGAAGGUGACCUGUGAGGGUUGCUGGAGGUAUCAGAAGUGCGAAUGCUGACAUAAGUAACGAUAAUGCGGGUGAAAAACCCGCACGCCGGAAGACCAAGGGUUCCUGUCCAACGUUAAUCGGGGCAGGGUGAGUCGACCCCUAAGGCGAGGCUGAAAAGCGUAGUCGAUGGGAAACAGGUUAAUAUUCCUGUACUUGGUGUUACUGCGAAGGGGGGACGGAGAAGGCUAGGCUGGCCGGGCGACGGUUGUCCCGGUUUAAGCGUGUAGGGGGAGUGACCAGGUAAAUCCGGUUGCUUAUCAACCCUGAGGCGUGAUGACGAUGCACUACGGUGCAGAAGCAGUUGAUGCCAUGCUUCCAGGAAAAGCCUCUAAGCAUCAGGUAACAUUAAAUCGUACCCCAAACCGACACAGGUGGUCAGGUAGAGAAUACUCAGGCGCUUGAGAGAACUCGGGUGAAGGAACUAGGCAAAAUGGUGCCGUAACUUCGGGAGAAGGCACGCUGGCGUUAGGUGAAAGGACUAGCUCCUGGAGCUGAAGCCAGUCGCAGAUACCAGCUGGCUGCAACUGUUUAAUAAAAACACAGCACUGUGCAAACACGAAAGUGGACGUAUACGGUGUGACGCCUGCCCGGUGCUGGAAGGUUAAUUGAUGGGGUCAGCCGCAAGGCGAAGCUCUUGAUCGAAGCCCCAGUAAACGGCGGCCGUAACUAUAACGGUCCUAAGGUAGCGAAAUUCCUUGUCGGGUAAGUUCCGACCUGCACGAAUGGCGUAAUGAUGGCCAGGCUGUCUCCACCCGAGACUCAGUGAAAUUGAACUCGCUGUGAAGAUGCAGUGUACCCGCGGCAAGACGGAAAGACCCCGUGAACCUUUACUAUAGCUUGACACUGAACAUUGAGCCUUGAUGUGUAGGAUAGGUGGGAGGCCUUGAAGUGUGGACGCCAGUCUGCAUGGAGCCAACCUUGAAAUACCACCCUUUAAUGUUUGAUGUUCUAACUCGGCCCCAUAAUCUGGGGUGAGGACAGUGUCUGGUGGGUAGUUUGACUGGGGCGGUCUCCUCCCAAAGAGUAACGGAGGAGCACGAAGGUUAGCUAAUCACGGUCGGACAUCGUGAGGUUAGUGCAAAGGCAUAAGCUAGCUUGACUGCGAGAGUGACGGCUCGAGCAGGUACGAAAGUAGGUCUUAGUGAUCCGGUGGUUCUGAAUGGAAGGGCCAUCGCUCAACGGAUAAAAGGUACUCCGGGGAUAACAGGCUGAUACCGCCCAAGAGUUCAUAUCGACGGCGGUGUUUGGCACCUCGAUGUCGGCUCAUCACAUCCUGGGGCUGAAGUAGGUCCCAAGGGUAUGGCUGUUCGCCAUUUAAAGUGGUACGCGAGCUGGGUUUAGAACGUCGUGAGACAGUUCGGUCCCUAUCUGCCGUGGGCGUUGGAAGAUUGAGAGGGGCUGCUCCUAGUACGAGAGGACCGGAGUGGACGAAUCACUGGUGUUCGGGUUGUCAUGCCAAUGGCAUUGCCCGGUAGCUAAAUUCGGAAGAGAUAACCGCUGAAAGCAUCUAAGCGGGAAACUUGCCUCGAGAUGAGUCUUCCCUGGGGCUUAAAGCCCCCUGAAGGAACGUUAAAGACUAUGACGUUGAUAGGCUGGGUGUGUAAGUGCAGCGAUGUAUUGAGCUAACCAGUACUAAUGAUCCGUGAGGCUUAACCUU